AUGCAGCGCCUCUCCAUCGGAUCGCCGGGCUCGAGACCCAGCCUGGAUGCCGCCCCCGCCGCGGCCGCGGACGAGGCGGACGAGAAGGCGACGGGGAAGGCGGCCAGGGCGGCCGCGCCGGACAAGUCCAUCCACCUCGUCCCCCUCCUCACGCUCCUCUGCCUCCUCGUCCUCUUCCUCUUCUCCCACGACCCGGCCACUUCCCGCGCCAUCGCCGAUUCGCCACCCGUCCUGGCCGUCACCGCCCGCUCCCUCGAGGCCACAGCGGACACGACGCCGUCGGUGGCGCGGGGCGGCGCGCACCAGCGGCUGAAGGCGGACCCGACGCCGCGCCGCGGGCGAAGGCUGGGAGCGCCGCGGCAAUGA
rnacentral:rRNA from 1 species